UAUAUCUUCAUCUCUUCCGAUCCAACCAAAAAAAAAAAAAAAAAAAAACUAAACCUUCAUCUAUUCAUGAUUAAUUGUUAUGGGUUUAAAAAAUGAUGAAUAUGUAUAUGUAUUCUUCAUUUCUUCUAGUAGAUCUAUCCUCAUUUUACACUUUGACCUUCAUUAAGAACUAGACGAAACCAUCCCUUCCCGAUUCCGCUCAUAAGAAACAAAACACAAACCAAUUUUGUGAAUUUCACACUAAUUAUACCUUUGUGAAGAAUACGAAAUUGUUGGAAGCUUGUGUUUAUGAAACGAACGGUUCAACAACAAAAUCUCACUCGCGCUUCCAAGAAGGUUCUUUUUCUGUUGAUUUUCAUUCUUCCCCCUUUUCUUUUUUCCAAUUUUUGAAUUUCAAAUUUUGAUUUUUGGGUAUAUGGGGUUGUAUUUAAAUUCAUGUUUUUUUUUUUUUUUUUUUUUUUUGGCUGUCUUGGUAAUGUUUAAUUUCAUGUUUUUUUAUGUGUCCUAGCUGUGUAACUGUUGGAGUUCAGAGUCAGGUUGUGUUUUUGGGUUAACUUGUUCCUCGAAACUUUUUUCAUCGCAUUCAUGAUUGUAUUUACUCCAUUGUCACCUUAAGCUUGUCGGGGUAAAAGAAAAAUAACAGUUAAAAAAUGUAAAUUAACUCUUUCUCCAUUUGUCUCCAAAAUCCAACUCUGGAACAUAGCCACACUACCACAGGGUUCACAUUUCGUAAUAAACGCAAAAACCUUAAAUUUUCGAUCCUUUAUUGGUGUAUCCCGAUCUUGUUUUCUUAUAUUCUUCUUAGCAACGUUAAAGUGAUACAAAAUCUCAAUCUAAGCUCGUGUACGAUGGAUAAUGAAUGAUGAUUCCAUCAACACAGCUACACGUGAAGGUGCCAGCUUUAAAAAUCUGCUUUUUGAGUGUUUGCUUCCAGCUCUCGAGUUGUAGAUUUCUUUAUUUUCUUAUUAACGUCCCUUAUUAUCUCUUUUUACAUCCACCAAACUCUCAUGUAUCAAAAGAAGCUACAAUACCAUUUAUGUAAUUGUAAAAUAUCAAAUGAAGGUGUUGUAGUUCCCAAUUUAUUCCCUAAUAGAUGAUUUGUCCUGUGCCCUGUUUAAUACGUCACCAUGGUCCGUGAGGCACUUCGUGUUACCACAAAAGAGAAAAUCCCACAAAUGAGUAACAUGAGAAAAAUUAUCACUGCACUGAAUACAACUCCACAGCCAUUAUAAGAUGAUUGAGAUACUCUAGCUUUAAAAACACAUUCUCCAUUAUAUGAAUGGUGGAUUCUGGAACUGCUUUCAGAAGAACUAACAAGAAAGAGUAAGGAGUGUCCAACCAAUCAAUUAUAAACAUUAAAACAAACAGUUAUAAUUCACAUUCACUGCUUAUUGUAUAAAUCUUUGAAAACAUCACUAAGUAAAAAACAAGAACUACACCACUGUUAAUUUUGAUAAGGAAUGGAAUAAUAUUUUAUUUUCCUAACAAAAGUUUGCAACGAAUAUUGCUAGAGGUGAAGAAAACAAUUUGUUUAAACUUUGUAUUAUCGUAUCUUUCACGGUUGAGUGAGGCAGAUCAUCUGCCGUCUCUUCAUAAUCAUAUGUACAGACAAUAACCAAAAGGAAAUAAUAAAUGAACAAAGGCAAGCACAAUCACAUGCAGAAAAUGAAUUAUCUACAUGGCAUGGCACCAACUCCAAAAGCAUCUCUCAGGCACGGGGUUUAUUUCCACUUUUGUACAUGUCAUCAAUAACAUUCUGUGCCACAAAUAAAAUAGCAGUCAGUGCUUUCAGAAUACAGAAAUUAUUAAGUCCUUAAAACAGGCUUUGAAACGUUAAAAGUGCAAUGGAAAAUUGCAAUUGAAAGUGAAGUGGAAAUAGAAUUGUAUGCUAACAACUAUUAAUUAGAGGAUAAUCACUUGUAAACAUUUUACUCGUUUACUUACACAUUCACGUUAGGUAUUCCAAAUUACUUAGGAUUCAGCUACCAUGUCGAGUGUUCAGUUUCAAGUCUGUUUGGCACAUAACUAGUUAACUACACCUAUACAUGAAAUACGAGAAGAAACAAACUUUCUUAUGUGAACAGGUACUUGUACAAGCCAAGUGUAAGUGAAGUGACUACUUUAACUGAACUGUAAUGUAACUGAUUCAUAACUAAUAUGAUAUUAAUAGUGAAACAGGGCACAUCAGUUGCACUAUGAUUCACAUCUAAUCUAAUAACAUGGGUGCAGAUGACAUCUAAAAACUGACUCUUGGUCAACUCAAUCAGAUGAGAUUUCUACACCUGUGUUCAGUUAUAUAUGCUCAGUCGAACGAAAAUAUCCGGAAGAAAAAAAAGGUUAUAUACACAAAGACAGCUCAUUCUAUCCAUUCCAAUAAUAAUAAAGCAGAAAUAAUUUUUGAAGCAGAAAUGAAAUCCUGAGAAUUUGACAACUUUUACCUGAUAGUAUUUAAGCAACUGGGGCCUCUUCUUCUUAUAUGUUGGAGUGAUAAGGUCACGUUCCAUAUCAAAUGGAACUGGGUCAAGAUGGACUGCUUUUAUGAACUCAAAUCCUUUCAACUGUCAAAAACAUAUCCAUCAUCGCAUAAAAUUUCAGGACAUGUACUUAUGCAUGCAAACAGGUAUGCAUGUAGAAUAGAAUCAAUUGGUGCAAACAUAAGACCAUACACACACCACUUAAAAAAUCCUCUGAAAAAAUAUUUUGGGCCAUCCAAUCAUUGAAUCUUAGUUAACUAUGCAAAUAUUGUGUUAAAUAUUAGUACAAAUUUUUUUACUAGCAUUUGAAACUAAAAAUAUAAGAUUAGAUGGUUGGCAUUUAAUAUUACGUUGAAAAGGCUACUUUCUAAAAAAGUAUGUUGUGUGGAAAUUAUUAAUAGUUCUGAUAUUUGUAGAAAACCCCCUUUAAAAAUGUGAAAUUUUAUCGUCAUGAUAUAUGCAUACACACACUCCAUACAUAACAAAUUAGAACAAAAAUAAGAAAUUUAAAUUAGAUAGAACCUUCUUUUCCUUUCCAAUCUUUGAGAGCUCAUCAAGUAUGUAACCUUUUGCCCUAGAAUCUCCACAGAGAGAAUUGAAGUCCACGGAUAUACCAUUUUCUUCUGCCCAAUGUUCAAGUGCUGGUUUGCUGGGGUUAACAACAGCAACAAGGAAGGCCUCAAAACUGUUUCCGUAAACCCAUAUCUGAGACAGGAGGAAUAAAAGUUCAAAUCAGCAUGGAACAGAACGAUUUUAACUCAUGAAAUGAAGCUAAUAGUAGACUAUUUUUGUGUUUAUGAGCUGAUACAUAUGGAUGUCACAAUGAAUAAUUGUACAGCUACUAAUGCAACAAGAACAGUCCUAUCUAUUAGACAAACGAUCAUAAUGAACUAUAGAAUGCGGAUACUAAUGUAAAGUAUACCAAUAUGGACCAGAAUCUGUGCACAACAACGCAUAGGACUAUGGGCAACGUACACAUGCUGCUGGUGAAAAUUUAAAGCUCAGUACAGUUAUAGAACUAUAUGUCCAGCAAGAAAUAAGAAUGCAAUUUGGAUUAUAGGCAAGAGAGAUUGGUGUCUCUGCAUUAACUGAUGAUCGGUCUAAAGCUUGCUUAUAUUUUGAAUUCCGUAAUUAAAAAUUAUCAAACUGAGCUAAAAAUAUUAGCUGCUCAAGAUUGGCCCCAUUUGUCCCAAGCCCAUCAAGGGCACGGUUUCUAUAAUUCUAUAAUGAACCAAUAAAUUUAAUUCAAGUAGAAAGAGUAAAAAGAUAUUUUUUUCAACUUUAUAUGGGGAAUAAUUUCACUACAAGCUAGGACACUAAAACCAUAUGAAGGGCUCUCAAGACAUACAGAUUCAACAGAAGGAACUUGGCUAUAAAUAUUCUCCAGGUUUUCAACGGCAACAUAUUCUCCUUGGGAAAGCUUGAAUAUAUUCUUCUUCCGAUCAAUAAUCUUCAUACUUCCAUUAGGUUGCCACUCUCCAAUGUCCCCUGUUGAAUAAAUCACACAAUUUAAAAGAAUAUAAACUUCAAAAUGUGAUCCAACAGCCAAUUUAAAUAGUAUCUAUAUAGUUCAAUUUUGGAAAACACCAAUAACCUGUAUGGAACCAUCCAUCAACCAGAACCUCUUUUGUGAGAUCUUCGCGUUUGUAGUACCCCGAAAACAAGGUAUCUCCCUUUACACAAAUUUCUCCUCUUGGCGUGCUUGCAAGGGCAUCGUAACCCAUUUCAGGAACAGAUUCCAGGCACGCAUCCACAUUUGGUACAGGAGGACCCACUGUUCCAAGCAUAUCUAGUUCAUUUGGUAAUGAGACAAAGGUUCCCGCACAGGUUUCAGUCAGACCUGUUUUCAUUUCAACAAAGACACAUUAGUGAAGUCCAUGGUACAUGUGCUGAUACCUACAUUAUUACAUAUGCUGCAUUGGAGUGAAGAAACAUCAGAAUAAUUUCCACAUAGAUUUCAGUUAGACUAUUUAUUUUUCUAUAAACAUGCAUUAAAACUAAAAUUAAUUCGCUAAUUGUCACAGCUCAUCUCAAAUUAAUCAACAGUCUAUAUCCAUAUAUUUAGCAAUUGAAAUACGAAUCUAGACUUGGCUAAACACAUAUAAAAUAUUCAGCUAUAUAUCUAUGUGCUUUUUGCAUACCAUAUCCUUGUAGGACAUGAGCACAAGUCACCACACGUAGGUAACUUUCCACAUGCAAGGAUAGAGGUGCUGCUCCAGACAGAAUAAGACGUACACUAC
rnacentral:lncRNA from 1 species